rnacentral:rRNA from 1 species
UGAACGCUAGCGGCAGGCCUAACACAUGCAAGUCGAGGGGUAACAGGGGGUGCUUGCACCUUGCUGACGACCGGCGCACGGGUGCGUAACGCGUAUGCAACCUACCUUCCACAGGGGGAUAGCCCAGAGAAAUUUGGAUUAAUACCCCAUACGAUCAUUAAAUAGCAUUAUUUGAUGAAGAAAACUUUGGUGGUGGAAGAUGGGCAUGCGUCCUAUUAGUUAGUUGGUGAGGUAACGGCUCACCAAGACGUCGAUAGGUAGGGGCCCUGAGAGGGGGAUCCCCCACACUGGUACUGAGACACGGACCAGACUCCUACGGGAGGCAGCAGUGAGGAAUAUUGGACAAUGGAGGCAACUCUGAUCCAGCCAUGCCGCGUGCAGGAAGACUGCCCUAUGGGUUGUAAACUGCUUUUAUACAGGAAGAAUCGGUGCUACGUGUAGUGCUUUGACGGUACUGUAAGAAUAAGGAUCGG